GGGAGAAAGAGAUUGAUCUUUCACAAUCUCAUUCCUCUGGGCAAUGAGUCUCCUCAUUUUGCAGUCAUUGGAUGGAUUCCUGCAGCCACUGGAGUAAGAGAGAGUAAGAGAAUAUGGGCAGGGAUCCAUUCCCAUUCUGAAAUCCCAAAGGGCGGGCCUUGAAUUUAAUCUUAAGACAGCUUCUCAAUGACUCUUGGCAGCAUUACGGCUGGAAAAAUGUUUCAGGAAUGCCUGCCAACUGAACUGACUCCGGAAGCUGCUCAUGCAUUGAAUUUGACCCAAACGAAAUCAUGUUCACAUUCAUAUCAGGAUAUUAUUACAAAGGUACAUCAUGUUGAUCAUGUGGAAAACAUGGCAAUCGAACCAACGAUUCAACACAAUGAGGAACAGUAUAAUUCUCCAUACAAGAUGGAAAAUUUUCCUUGCCAUGUUCUUACUGUAAGAAUCAUACGCAUGAG
rnacentral:lncRNA from 11 species